rnacentral:misc_RNA from 1 species
GGAAGGAUCAUUAUUGAAUCCUCAGGAUGUCGCUGGCUCUCGCAAGGGAGCAUGUGCACUCCGCCUUCAAUCCACCUGUGCACUUUGUUGUAGGUCAAGAGGGGAAACCCUCCUGCCUAUGCUUUUUUAUACACACGUUAAAGUACCAGAAUGUAAACACAGUAGGCCUUUGGGUCGAAAUAACAAUACAACUUUCAACAACGGAUCUCUUGGUUCUCGCAUCGAUGAAGAACGCAGCGAAUUGCGAUAUGUAAUGUGAAUUGCAGAAUUCAGUGAAUCAUCGAAUCUUUGAACGCACCUUGCGCCCUUUGGUAUUCCGAAGGGCAUGCCUGUUUGAGUAUCAUUAAAACAUCACCCUUGACUUCCUUGUGAAGCCCAAGGUGUGGACUUUGGAGGCUUUUGCUGGCCAUCACCGGUCGGCUCCUCUCAAAUGCAUUAGCGGAACUCUAUGCAGUACCAGCCUCGGUUUGAUAAUCCUAUCUAUGCUGUCGCUGUUGGACUGUGCUUGUUUGGCUUACAAUUGUCUUCGGACUGUCACUUCUGUGGCAUAAACCUUUAAGCUUGAUCUCAAAUCAGGUAGGACUACCCGCUGAACUUAAGCAUAUCAAUAAGCGGAGGAAAAGAAACUAACAAGGAUUCCCCUAGUAACUGCGAGUGAAGAGGGAAAAGCUCAAAUUUAAAAUCUGUCUGCCUUGCUGCAGUCCGAGUUGUAGUUUAGAGAAGUGCUAUCCGCGUUGGCCUGUGCAAAAGUUUCUUGGAAAAGAACAUCAUAGAGGGUGACAAUCCCGUCUUUGGCACAGAUCACCAGGGCUUUUGUGAUACGCUCUCGACGAGUCGCGUUGUUUGGGAAUGCAGCGCUAAAUGGGUGGUAAAUUCCAUCUAAAGCUAAAUAUUGGCGAGAAACCGAUAGCGAACAAGUACCGUGAGGGAAAGAUGAAAAGGACUUUGAAAAGAGAGUUAAACAGUACGUGAAAUUGUUGAAAGGGAAACGCUUGAAGUCAGUCGUGUCCUUUGGAAAUCAAGUCUGCUCUUGGGCGACCGUAUUUUCUGCAGGACAGGUCAGCAUCAGUUUUGACCGCUGGACAAAGGCCCAGGGAAUGUGGCUUCUUCGGAAGUGUUAUAGACCUGGGUUGCAUACAGCGGUUGGGAUUGAGGAACUCAGUGCGCCUUCAUGGUUGGGCUUCGGUCACACCCCGCACUUAGGAUGCUGGCAUAAUGGCUUUAAUCGACCCGUCUUGAAACACGGACCAAGGAGUCUAACAUGCUUGCGAGUAUUUGGGUGGAAAACCCAUAUGCGCAAUGAAAGUGAAAGUUGAGACCUCUGUCAUGGAGUGCAUCGACGCCCGGACCAGACCUUUUGUGACGGAUCUGCGGUAGAGCACGUAUGUUGGGACCCGAAAGAUGGUGAACUAUGCCUGUAUAGGGUGAAGCCAGAGGAAACUCUGGUGGAAGCUCGUAGCGAUUCUGACGUGCAAAUCGAUCGUCGAAUAUGGGUAUAGGGGCGAAAGACUAAUCGAACCAUUGUACAAAGCUACUUGGUGGUUUAGAGGCACUUGAAAAAGGUUGGCCUAGUGAGCAGUUGAAGCUUGCAACAUUGUCAAAUUGUCGGGGACGUCCUAAAGCUUUUGUGACCAAGCACUGAUUGUAGAAAUACCAGUGUGGCCGAGUUAACAACCCUGGGUAUGGUAAUACUACAAAAGAUGUAACAAUGGACAAUCCGCAGCCAAGCUCUAACAGUCUUGAUUGACUUAAGAGUGCAGUUCACAGACUAGAUGGCAGUGGGUUCAGCAGUUUUAAUUGCUGGGCUUAAGAUAUAGUCGGUCCUACCACGAAAGUGGUCUGGCAGAUGAAGGCAUAUUGUCACUCAACAAUAGACGAUAAGCCUGGAGCUGCUGGGGGACUUGUAACAAAGUCCUUGGAGUAAAUGCUAGUAGCUGGUUCCUGC